rnacentral:rRNA from 1 species
UUGUUGCGGUAUGGUUGCGUAUGCAGAGCGUAGCUGGGAGCCUUCGAAACCUGCUCUCCGGGGCAGGUGGAGGCACCGAUGUAACACCAGCCAUUCGUUACCGUAUCGCUAACCCUUUCUCACGGGGACAGCGGCAGGUGGGCAGUUCGGCUGGGGCGGCACCCCCUUGAAAAAGUAUCGAGGGGGCCCAAAGAUUGGCUCAGGCGGGACAGAACUCCGCCGGUGAGGGCAAAGCCAAAAGCCAGUCUGACUGUAUUCCCAAUGAUACGGAAUACAGAGGAGAAAUCCGGGCUUAGCGAUCCAUCGUGUCCCCACUAUUGGGGGCCGGUGGUGACAGAAAAGUUACCCUAGGGAUAACAGGCUCGUCGCGGGCGAGAGCUCCCAUCGACCCCGCGGUUUGGUACCUCGAUGUCGGCUCUUCCCAUCCUGGUUCUGCAGCAGGAGCCAAGGGUGGGGCUGCUCGCCCAUUAAAGGGGAACGUGAGCUGGGUUUAGACCGUCGUGAGACAGGUCGGUCUCUGCCUGACAGGGGCGUGGUUGUCUGAGGGGAAGUUGCCCCUAGUACGAGAGGAACAGGGCAGCGCAGCCUCUGGUUUAUCAGCUGUCCGACAGGGCACGCUGAGCAGCUAAGCUGCUUAGGAUAAGUCCUGAAAGCAUCUAAGGACGAAGCCUUUCCCGAGAAAAGACAGCCGUCCGCAAGGAAAAGGGCGGCCAUAGAAGAUGGCGUUGAUGGGAUGGAGGUGUAAGCACCAAGCUUCGGCGAGGUGUUCAGCCUGCCAUUCCCAAUAGCCCAAUGCACUAAAUCA